UACGGGGGGGGCAAGCGUUGUUCGGAAUUACUGGGCGUAAAGGGCUCGUAGGUGGCCAACUAAGUCAUACGUGAAAUCCCCAGGCUCAACCUGGGAACUGCGUCUGAUACUGGAUGGCUUGAAUUCGGGAGAGGGAUGCAGAAUUCCAGGUGUAGCGGUGAAAUGCGUAGAUAUCUGGAGGAAUACCGGUGGCGAAGGCGGCAUCCUGGACCGAUAUUGACACUGAGGAGCGAAAGUCAGGGGAGCAAACGGG
rnacentral:rRNA from 1 species